rnacentral:rRNA from 1 species
UACGUAGGGUGCAAGCGUUGCCCGGAUUUAUUGGGCGUAAAGGGCGCGUAGGCGGCUCUGCACGUUCGUUGUGAAAUCGCCCGGCUCAACUGGGCGGGGUCAGCGGAUACGGCAGAGCUUGAGCAAGCUAGGGGGCAAUGGAAUUCCCGGUGUAGUGGUGGAAUGCGUAGAUAUCGGGAGGAACACCAGUGGCGAAAGCAGGUAUCUGGGCCAUCACUGACGCUGAGCUGCGAAAGCUAGGGGAGCAAACAGG